rnacentral:lncRNA from 1 species
CUCCCAGACCUGUGGCUGCCCUCCUGCCCCCAAGAGGACUGACCCCACAUGCUCCCUAUUUAUCCAGGUUUUGCAUUAACCCAGACUCAUAGAAGUCAGCAGCACUGGAGCUUGUGCCCGCACUGGCACCAAUGUCCCCUGUGGCCGCGGCGCAGUUUCCUAAGGCAGAGUCUCUAUCUGGGGAUGAUGGGCAAAUACAAGAUGGAUUGUAAGAUACCAGCUGGAGCCUGUACUAUACCACAUGGCCUCAGAAGCAGGCAGCAAAGUAAACUGAGAGGAAAUCUGAGCAGCAAAAUCUAUGAUGAAGCUAUGGCAAGCGGGAACAUAACUGUGAUUAUAGCUCCCAGUUUCCCUGAAAACCUGUGCUGGGAUUCCAGUGUUUCCAACUUCAUGGAGCUUGGAGAGGAUGGUACCAUCAAUAUGAAACCAAGUGAGCAAAAUUACCCAAGUAACGAGAUUAGCACUGCUAAAUUGGAAGUGAAAACCUGGUAAUGGAAGACAUUGAUUUUUGGAAAAUACAGCAUGUAGGCAUCAAAGUAAAUGGAUCUGGGGACAGUAAAUUAAUCUUGAGGAAGGGCUUCCAAACCAAAAUUGUUGUCAGAAACCAAUUAGAGGCCUUCUAUGCCAAUACACAAUAGAUCAAGAAAACAUGCUUGUUAUAAGGAAGCAUUUUCCAUGCAGCAAAGUCCAUGUAACAAGUACCUGAGAAUCAGAGCAAUGGUUUGAGCCAAGUUAGAAACUAGUUAUUAGUCACUGAGCUAUUACCAUAGGUAAGAGAGAUCAAGAUCUAGGCAGUGAACAAGCAGGGCUUCCUUCUGAUCACUGGUCUGGGAGAUGCAGUCUAUCAUUUUAACAUACUUCCUGCUGCUGUUCUGAAGCACCAGUCGACCUUCAGUUGUGCAUCUCAGAUGAAUAAGAGUCUAAAAUUGGCUCUAGCCAGUGGACUGGUAUCCUCCAGACAAUGCUAAAGCCAGUUGUUUCAACUAGUAGCACCCUUCCUACUUGAUACUAAACUCCUGCAAUCCCUACCAAUGCCCUCUAAUCCUCAUCCAUGAUAACACCUGUGUUCCAACUCUGGGCCCCCAGCCAGCUUACCCCACCUAUUCUAGCCAUUGGCAGACUGCCUUGCCAUUGCUGGGUGGAAAGGACAGAAGGCAGCAUGAGCCAGGUUUCCAAUGUCUCCAAAGUCAUAGAAAGGAAAAUUCCCAAACUGGCUGGGGAAUGUCUACAGAGAGACAUCAGAAAGUGAGUCAAACUUUCCAAAGCCCCUAAAUGACAUAGCCCCAUUUUCCAAAGCCCCAUUUUCAAAAGUGACUGAGACACUUAGGACCUUGUAUCUCCCUGAUAGUCAAUGGAUUCCGGCUCCUAAGUCACUCAGGCACUUUUGAGAAUAUGACUCAGCAUCCCUGCUAAGCAAGCCAUCC